rnacentral:rRNA from 1 species
ACAUCUUUUAUACUAUUUAUUAUAAAUAAUACCUGCUCAAUGAUAGAUAUAUUCCAUUAUAAGAUUCAAUAGCCGCAAAAUAGUGCUAAGGUAGCAUAAUCAUUUGUUUCCUAAUUAAAAACUAGAAUGAAAGGUUUAACAUUUUAAUUAUUUUAUUAAUUAUUUAUAUAAAUUUAUACUAAACAUAAAAAUAUGUUUAUGGUCUAAAAAGACGAUAAGACCCUAUUAAAUUUUACUUAAUGUUUAACUGGGGCAGUUAUUUAAUUAAUACUUUAAACACAUAGAAUAAAUACCUAAUAUAAAUAUACUAUAAUCAAAUUACUAUAGGGAUAACAGCGUUAUAUUAUUUAAAAGUUCAUAUUUAUAAUAAUGAUUGCGACCUCGAUGUUGAAUUAUAUUUCUAUUAUUAACGCAACAGUUAAAUA